rnacentral:misc_RNA from 1 species
AGCCACCCCUUUCUAAUGGAGCAGCUAAAGCAGAAGAAAAUUGCCGUGGAGGCCAAUCCAGUGAGUAACCAAAUGCUGGGAUUUGUUCCCGAUCAGCGCCAUCACCCGGCUAUUACGUACAUCCGGUAUGGCAUACCCGUUGUUUUGGGAGCAGAUGACCCGUCUACAUUUGGAUACGAUGAAUUCACGGUGGACUGGUACGAAGCAGUCAUGGGAUGGGAUUUGACGCUUGCUGACAUGCGCCACCUGGCAACGAAUUCUCUCCAGUAUAGUUCUCUGUUAGACUCCGAGAAACCGGCCGCAAUCACCAAGUGGCAAAACUCCUACAAUCUUUUCAUAACAAACACAAAACAGGAAGCAUGCAGUCUGACUUUCAAUAAAACGAACCCGAUUGUCGAAUCUAUAUUUCCUCAAGAGGGUCCUUUGACUGGCGGAAACAUCGUGAAAGUGUUCGGAAGGCAUUUCAAUAUGGCAAUUUGUAGAACCAUCUACUGUCGAUUUGGAACCACGACAACGAAAGGAACGCUGGUGUACGAUCACAUCAUUGAUUGUCCGUCACCCGUUCGAGCCUCCCAUGGACCUCAUCUCGACCCCAUGCACGUGAAGUUCAGCGUAUCUCUGGACAGCGGUUCUACCUUCAUCAGCAUGAAUAAAACUUACUCCUACAUUCACUCCAGCCACGGAAUAUCCAUCCCUGGAGUUAUUGGCUGAUUGCAUGUUUUCGUACUACAAGUAUUGAUAAACAUCUUGAUUAUGGAAGCUCCCCUUUUGCCCAUAAUUAUUUUUUUUUCCGAAAAGAUAUCAAUUAUAUGUGUGAUAUAUAAUUAACACAUAUACUUCUGUUUUACAUUUCAUAUCAUACUUAAUUUAUCCAUUUGUGAUUUUUUUACUUUCCUUACAAAGUGUACACAUAUUUUAUGAUAUCUGUGAAAUAAAUGAAUCUUAUAAAUUGUG